GGGGACACAAAGCCACGCCAGGAUGAAGCAAUAACCGAAAUGACCUUUGCCCAGAUUGCUGGAGUCAUUAAGGAUCUCCUUCCUGUGAAAGGUGAAGAUGAGGCAAGCUGCAAAGUCGGUGAAGCCUGCAAAAGUUACAGGCUUGACAGAGUCCUGUCAAGUAGAAGAGCCCUCCUUUGGACAUGGUGAAGAGCUGAGCUGCAAACACCAGCAGAGAGAUGGACGAGAAGACCACGGACAGCACCAUGAGGGCCUGCACCGACUGCAACCAGUCUGGAACGAGCGAAGACCCAACAGUUUUUAAACAUCAGACGAUAUUAUGGAAUCGUGCAGAAAUGCAAAUGAUCAUUUACCGCUCUCAUUGGUGGCGGCACACAGCCACGUAUCUGUGGCAUUGUCAUGGAAACAGUUGUACCACAGGUCGCUGAUUUCUGAAUUGUUCCAGACCCACCAGGACUACGCACACACACACACACACACACUCAAAGUAAGCAAAGUCUAUUUUUCGAGCACAUUUCAACACAGCUCACAGAGUAAAAACAAUGACCUCAAUUGUGAUGUCAUUUAACUGAAGGAAGUUUUUGCCUUUCAGAUUUUAAUUAUUUCCUGUCCAAAAGAGGCUGCAUGGAAUUUCUGGAUUUAAGUCAGAUGUACGGUUGAGAGCCAUCUGCAUAGAAUAUAAUACAUAAUAAUAAUUGGAAUUGGAGCUUGAUACAUUACAUAUCAAGGUUAGUUGUAGCAGGUGGAACAGCGCCAUCUCGUGGACAAAAAGUGCCACUCACCUUCUGCAGGGUAGCCACAAGGAGCAUGGACAGGGUGACAAGAUGCAGUACGGUCAAGGAUAUGAGGAGGAACACCAUGGCUGAGGCCGCUAUAAUAAAAACAAGAAAAUAUAUUAUUGGGCAGUGCCUUGAGGAAGUGUUGCAAGUGGGCCCGGUUAUGAAUCAGAGUCCAGCUUCCUCAUAAAAUGUCUCCAAGAUGAGGGGCAGACUCCCGAAAAGAGCCUCAUUUCAUGACUCCCUCCCUUAAACAUCUUUUAUCUAUUAGCAAGAUCACAAACACACUUUCCCCUUUUCCCUCAUUUUGCAUUUUUGUCUCCAUGACAUCACAACCCACAUACUCAUAACUUUUUUUUCACUUGAGCAUAAGUAGCAAGAUUGUGCCUCUCCACCACCCCACUAUGAACCCCAAUUUAACCAUUCAAAAAGUCCCUUUAUUCCAAACAGGAACUGGAAUUGAGACAAUUUCUGUUUCGCUCUGUUUCGCUUUAGAGCGCGACCAAAGAUUUGGGUAUUAGAUUACAGAUAAAGCUGAGAUUUUCCGUUGAACUUCAUAAUUAUUAAAUGAAGUAGGUUACAAUGUGAGAAACGUAUACUUGGUCAACGUCCAACACUUAAAAUAUAUAAUAUAUAUAGUAAUAUCUGUAAUUAGACACGAAUAUGAGCUUACUGACAGGGUGGAUAUUUUUGCUAAUAUUGACGUUUUAUGAGCACAUGGUUGACCUUCAGCAAGUAGUAUGAUUCACUUAACAAUUUGACUGUUUAACCAAUAUAUUUUCAAUCUGAAAUGCUGAAUAGAGGAGCCCCACUAUUCAUUUGAUGAUAGGAACUGGGCCAGGCUGCAAAUGGCAAGAAUGAUUGACGUAUGCAUUGAAAAGAGAGAAAAAGAAAUAAUUAAAAGAACAAAAUUUAGGUAAAACAGAACAAAAAAACAUCGAUAUGACAUAAUGACAGGAUGGAGAGCAAUUUUAAGAACAAUAUUUAUCAUUGUACUGGUAUGGGAGCAAAUGUUUUGCCACUAUUAAUGAGAUUGCAAAGUUUCAUUAUUAUGCAACAUUUUCAUGAUGAUUUUGAUGAGAACACCAAAGGCAUUCAUAGUGCUACUAUCGCCGAUGUUUUUUUUUUUCUAUUUCAAUGAAUGGACUGAGACAGUCUGGGGCAAAAUUGUUCCCAGCGGUCCUCUCUGAUGACAUCAUCAUUGGUAGUGGCUUACGCUUGCUCACAUUUGACUGUUCGUAUGUUCAGUGCAUUAAGUUCAUGCAAGAUACUGCAAGUCCUUCUGAAUAUGAACAAAUUAAUUUCCUGGAUGAAUAAAAAGACAUGACGUAUUCUUA